rnacentral:rRNA from 1 species
UACGGGGGGUGCGAGCGUUGUUCGGAUUCACUGGGCGUAAAGGGUGCGUAGGUGGUUGGGUAAGUCUGAUGUGAAAUCUCCGGGCUCAACCCGGAAAUGGCAUUGGAUACUAUCCAGCUGGAGGGUCGGAGGGGGGACUGGAAUUCUUGGUGUAGCAGUGAAAUGCGUAGAUAUCAAGAGGAACACCAGUGGCGAAGGCGAGUCCCUGGACGACUCCUGACACUGAGGCACGAAAGCUAGGGGAGCAAACAGG